rnacentral:rRNA from 1 species
AUGGAAUUUGGAUUGGUGUGCGGAUGUCCUGAGGUUGAAGCAUCGACACUUAGACUUAGUCCAUACCUUGUGGGAAGGACAUGCUACAAUUGCCUCAUUAUUAAUUCUGAUAAUUUGGAGGUUAUUGACUUCAUGAAGAAUGGAGGACGUUCUGUGGGAGUAGGGGCAGUGUUUGACGACUGUUAUUAUUUUGUUUGUGAUUUUCCUACCACUAGUUUCGAACAUUGUAAUAGGAAAGUUAAUAAGGUUGCUCAUGAGCUUGUUAGGUUGGCUAGAUUUUCUCAGGCCAAUUGGUUUGAGGAGCCUAUGUGUGAAAUUGUACCCCUCCUCGUAAACGAUGUAACUGUUAUUUCAACUAAAUAA